rnacentral:rRNA from 1 species
AUUGAACGCUGGCGGCAGGCUUAACACAUGCAAGUCGAGCGGAGAUGAGGUGCUUGCACCUUAUCUUAGCGGCGGACGGGUGAGUAAUGCUUAGGAAUCUGCCUAUUAGUGGGGGACAACAUUCCGAAAGGGAUGCUAAUACCGCAUACGUCCUACGGGAGAAAGCAGGGGAUCUUCGGACCUUGCGCUAAUAGAUGAGCCUAAGUCGGAUUAGCUAGUUGGUGGGGUAAAGGCCUACCAAGGCGACGAUCUGUAGCGGGUCUGAGAGGAUGAUCCGCCACACUGGGACUGGAACACGGCCCAGACUCCUACGGGAGGCAGCAGUGGGGAAUAUUGGACAAUGGGGGGAACCCUGAUCCAGCCAUGCCGCGUGUGUGAAGAAGGCCUUAUGGUUGUAAAGCACUUUAAGCGAGGAGGAGGCUACUGAGACUAAUACUCUUGGAUAGUGGACGUUACUCGCAGAAUAAGCACCGGCUAACUCUGUGCCAGCAGCCGCGGUAACAC